UGGGGAAUAUUGCACAAUGGGGGAAACCCUGAUGCAGCAAUGCCGCGUGUGUGAAGACGGCUUUCGGGUUGUAAAGCACUUUCAGUAGGGAAGAAAAACGGACCGCUAAUAUCGGCCUGGAAUGACGUUACCUACAGAAGAAGCACCGGCUAACUCCGUGCCAGCAGCCGCGGUAAUACGGAGGGUGCGAGCGUUAAUCGGAAUUACUGGGCGUAAAGGGCGCGUAGGUGGCCGUGUAAGUCGGAUGUGAAAGCCCCGGGCUUAACUUGGGAAUUGCAUUCGAUACUGCACAGCUAGAGUGUGGCAGAGGAAAGCGGAAUUCUCGGUGUAGCGGUGAAAUGCGUAGAUAUCGGGAGGAACAUCAGUGGCGAAGGCGGCUUUCUGGGUCAACACUGACACUGAGGCGCGAAAGCGUGGGGAGCAAACAGG
rnacentral:rRNA from 1 species